AUUCAUCUGGCUCAGUUGGUAGAGCAUGGUGUUUGCGACGCCAGGGUUGUGGGUUCGAUUCCCACGGGGGACC
rnacentral:tRNA from 1 species